GAACUUAAGCAUAUCAAUAAGCGGAGGAAAAGAAACCAACAGGGAUUGCCUCAGUAACGGCGAGUGAAGCGGCAACAGCUCAAAUUUGAAAUCUGGCUCUUUCAGGGUCCGAGUUGUAAUUUGUAGAAGAUGCUUUGGGUGUGGCUCCGGUCUAAGUUCCUUGGAACAGGACGUCAUAGAGGGUGAGAAUCCCGUACGUGACUGGUUGCCUCCGCCCGUGUAAAGCUCUUUCGACGAGUCGAGUUGUUUGGGAAUGCAGCUCAAAAUGGGUGGUAAAUUUCAUCUAAAGCUAAAUAUUGGCCAGAGACCGAUAGCGCACAAGUAGAGUGAUCGAAAGAUGAAAAGCACUUUGGAAAGAGAGUUAAACAGUACGUGAAAUUGUUGAAAGGGAAGCGCUUGCAACCAGACUUGCAUGCGGUUGAUCAUCCGAGCUUCUGCCCGGUGCACUCGAUCGUAUUCAGGCCAGCAUCGGUUUUGGUGGGCGGAUAAAGGCCUUGGGAAUGUAGCUUCCUUCGGGGAGUGUUAUAGCCCUCGGUGCAAUGCGCCCUACCGGGACCGAGGACCGCGCUUCGGCUAGGAUGCUGGCGUAAUGGUUGUAAGCGACCCGUCUUGAAACACGGACCAAGGAGUCUAACAUCUAUGCGAGUGUUUGGGUGUCAAACCCAUACGCGUAAUGAAAGUGAACGGAGGUGAGAACCCUUAAGGGUGCAUCAUCGACCGAUCCUGAUGUCUUCGGAUGGAUUUGAGUAAGAGCAUAGCUGUUGGGACCCGAAA
rnacentral:rRNA from 1 species